AGAGCGAACGCUGGCGGCAGGCCUAACACAUGCAAGUCGAACGGACCCUUCGGGGUUAGUGGCGGACGGGUGAAUAACACGUGGGAACGUGCCUUUAGGUUCGGAAUAGCUCCUGGAAACGGUGGUAAUGCCGAAUGUGCCCUUACGGGGGAAAGAUUUAUCGCCUUUAGAGCGGCCCGCGUCUGAUUAGCUUUGUUGGUGAGGUAAUGGCUCACCAAGGCUACGAUCAGUAGCUGGUCUGAGAGGAUGACCAGCCACAUUGGACUGAGACACGGCCCAAACUCCGUAGGGAGCAGCGAGUGGGAAUCGUGC
rnacentral:rRNA from 1 species